UAUUCUGCCCCAUGGGGAAGGAUGAGAAGCUUCGACUAAGGUUCGACUCGAGCGCCAGCGAGAGAACG
rnacentral:sRNA from 2 species